rnacentral:rRNA from 1 species
GUCUACGGCCAUACCACCCUGAACGCGCCCGAUCUCGUCUGAUCUCGGAAGAUUAUGUUUCUAAGGAAAAUCCUACCAUAGAUC